AUUGAACGCUGGCGGCAGGCCUAACACAUGCAAGUCGAGCGAGCGGCGGACGGGUGAGUAAUGUAUGGGGACUGCCCGAUAGAGGGGGAUAACUACUGGAAACGGUAGCUAAUACCGCAUACUAUCGGAUAACCCAUAUGGGAUUAGCUAGUAGGUGAGGUAAUGGCUCACCUAGGCGACGAUCCCUAGCUGGUCUGAGAGGAUGAUCAGAAGAACUGGGCCAUAUACACGGCCCAGAAUCCUCCGGAGGCGGCAUUGGGGAAUAUUGCACAAGGGGCGAAAGCCUGAAGCAGCCUUGCCGCGUGUAUGAAGAAGGCCCUAGGGUUGUAAAGUACUUGCAGGCGGGAGGCGUUACCGACAGAAUAAGCACCGGCUAACUCCGUGCCAGCAGCCGCGGUUAUAC
rnacentral:rRNA from 1 species